ensembl:lncRNA
CUGAUGUGACGUUCUGUAUCGAGGCUUCGAAACGUGUGUCGAGUAAUGGAGGGGGCGUUUCCGCGAAGCGCGUAUCGAGGCUUGCUUCAUUUAUGGGAGGAGCUGAAAAUGAUGACGUCCGAAGCCUCGCUGCCCGGCUGUACCACGUGACUGGUUCAGGAAGUGGUUCGAACUUUGACAGCGAUAUAAACCCCUCAGACUACAUUCAAAAUGUGGGUGUUUGAUGGAGAGUUGUUAGUGAGAGUUAGAGACAGUUUGGAGGUUUAUGAGAGUGAGGAGAGAAAGUCAGGAGAGAAUGGAGCCAGCUAAGAAGAGGAGGAUGUCCUCCCCUGUGUGGGAACAUUUUGAUCUUAUUCCUCCCAACAAGGUGAAGUGUUUGCUAUGUGCCAGGGAGCUGGGAUAUAACAACAACACCUCAUCCAUGCUUAGGCACUACAGAGCUUUGCAUGAGAAUAAGGGGAACACCGAUCGUGGAGCAAGACCAGGAGAACAAUCUCAAAUAGAUGAAGACCUGGUUACCAUGGUGAUCGAGGACUCCCAGCCAUUUAGCAUUGUGGAGGACAAAGGAUUCAAAAGAUUUGUUAAAUCAUUAAAUCCUAGCUAUGUUCUCCCCACUAAAAAGGUCAUAAAAGCAGUGAAAAUUUAGUUUUUACAGAAUAAAAUGUGAACAGGCAGGACUGAGGCUCAAAGCCUCAGUGUGUAGCUGUCCAUACCUCAACGUUACAAAAGCACAACUACUGUCCACACCCCACCCACACCUCACCUCACAGGAAAUGAUCGUUUCCAUUUUAAGCAUUUCCAAAUAAUCAUUUCCCAUACUGCCAGUAUAAAUAUACACAGUAUACUGCCAUCACUACAAUAUACAUGUUUUACACACUCCUUUUGUUGUUGACAUUUACAGGCUGUGUGCAAAAUGCCACACUCUUCAAAUUCAUGCCAGCUAUUAUUUUUACGUCCAGUAGGUGUCCUGCUAGAGCAAAUGAAGCUUCAAGAAGCUUCGCGUUGGGGUGAACCAAUUGGAUGAAAAGCUUCAGUGCUUCAUGGGGCUUCAUCUGCCCAUCACUACAUUUUAGUUGCCAAUAACUUCAUUGAUUGGUUUGGAUACAUCUGUUCUAUUUUUGCUGGACAGAAGAUGGUAGCCAGGGUUUGAAACCAUUAAAUACAAAGGAAGAUAAUUGGACCACACCACCACUUCCUGCUGAAGGGGGAAUGUGUGUUUUCUUUACUUUAAAAACAAAGUAUUUGUAUUUAAUUAAAUAUUUGAGUUUAGGGUUUAAUGGGGUUUUUGAUUUUCUUCUUUAGUGUUUAGUUUAUUAACAAACUAGAUUGUACUGCAUCGUUUGUGAUUUAUGAUUGUGUUUUGUUUGUUACCCCUCAUGUGUCACAAUGGUCUGAUCAGCCAUUAUAUAUACCCUUGUAUGUCAUUCAUGUUUAGGUCAAUUAUGUAUGUUUGGGCAGUCAUUUGGUUUGUUAAGGUUGCAGUCUUUGCCUGAGUUCAGUUUUGUUUCUUUGACCUCUUUUAUGAGCUCAACAUUUAUUAGUCUUGUAAAUAUAAUUUUUGGGGGUUAAAUAAAUGGAAACUAUAUUUUUCUAAUAAUUCCUGGGACUCCUCCUGUUUUUCAACUCGGUCCAUCACAUAAUAUAAACAAUGAACAGUAUUGGCUCCAUUACAGACCACCCCUGGGGGACAUCACAAGAAAUUUCCAAGCUUAAUGAGGAAUAUUCUCUCAACUUCCUGUCAUUUCCUGUCACAGUGUUUCGCUUAAAUAACAAUAAUUUCACCCCUCCCUCUAGAACAGGGGUCGGCAACCCUAGGCACGCGUGCCAGGAUAAUUGAUGGCACGACCAUAGCUGGACUGGGUGGCCCGAUGGUUGUUUUUUUUUUUGUUUUUUUAUAACAGUAUAAACAAUGAGAGGUGGUGGAUUGGCCAGAUGCUGGCAGAUGUGUAAAAAUAACUCAGUUGUUUGGUGGUGGCUGUGGCGGAGCUUCCACAGAGGCAACAGGUGGAUGAGAGAAAGGUGAGGCAGGAGGAGAGACCUGAGGCGGCCGAGUGUCAGGUGAACUGAACAUCAGGUAAGAAGUUAUGACCUGCAGUCUCUCUGGGUCAGAUAUAAACCAAGUUCAGGUGGAGUUUAUUUUAGCUGUGCUGACUUUUUACUGUCAGUUACAAUAACUCGUACUGCUACUAGCUAGCAUGACGGAGUUUCUAUACAGCUG